rnacentral:rRNA from 1 species
UGAUUCAUGACUGGGGUGAAGUCGUAACAAGGUAACCGUAGGGGAACCUGCGGUUGGAUCACCUCCUUACCUGAAAGAA